rnacentral:rRNA from 1 species
CACGUAGGGAGCAAGCGUUGUCCGGAAUUAUUGGGCGUAAGGAGCUCGUAGGCGGUCUGUCGCGUCGGCUGUGAAAACUCGGGGCUCAACUCCGAGCUUGCAGUCGAUACGGGCAGGCUAGAGUUCGGCAGGGGAGACUGGAAUUCCUGGUGUAGCGGUGAAAUGCGCAGAUAUCAGGAGGAACACCGGUGGCGAAGGCGGGUCUCUGGGCCGAUACUGACGCUGAGACGCGAAAGCGUGGGGAGCGAACAGG